GCCGCCAGCCGCUCGCCGGAGAAGACGAACCAGAGGCCGACCGCCGCCACUCGCCGCCGCACCGGGGAAAUUUCCGACCGCCGAUUGAGGUAAAUUUCAUACCCCCGACUCGUUUUUCCCCGCUGAUUCCUCCUAUGGCCAAAUCGAGGCCGAAAUCCCGGCCAAACGGCCGGAAUACGCGGCCGAAGCCCAGCGGCGCCGCCGCGCCCCCUCUCGGUUUUUGCCUCCGACGAGGCCCUUCCCGGCCUCCGUUC
rnacentral:lncRNA from 1 species